AUUAGUAAAUUGGGAUUUCUUAAGGUGUUGGAUUUGAGUUCUCAUAAAGUGGUUCCUUUGUCGUCAAUUACACUGCAUCCACUAAUUUAUCUGAAGUACCUCGCAGUUAGGACAAAUCAGUUUGAUUUCCAUCCGGAAUCGCAUCUACGCCAUCUUGAAACUUUAAUUGUUCUUCAUUCCAAGAGCGUAGUGUUACCCCCGAUUUUUUGGAAAAUGGAAAAACUAAGACAUUUUGAGAUUAAUGGAGUUGUUUCUAAUUUGAAAAACAAUAAGCAGGGGAUCUUUGAAGAAUCCCCUAAAUUGGAGAAUUUGAGGAUAUUAAGACAUGUUCGUUAUCCAAUUAGUGUUGGUGAAUGCCUGGAUGUCUUAUUACAGAGGUGUCCUAACCUUCAAAAUCUUAGGCUCACUAUCUCUAGCUAUGAACUUCCCAAAAAGAUUUGUACUUUCAGUCCCAAACUAGAGAGUCUUACUCGGCUGCAAUUACUUGACCUUUUCUUUGAGGGUAGGAGAUUUAGUAUAACUGAGUUACACUUUCCUUCAAAUCUAAAGAAGUUGAAACUUGAAGGGCCUCAUAUAGUAAGCGCAGUUCCCUUGAUUGCGGGACUACCAAAUCUAGAGUAUCUCAAAUUACAGGAUUGGGGAACUAAGUCGGAAGAGUGGUGCCUCAAAGAUAUCGAGUUCAAUAAACUUAAGUUGUUGAAGCUGGUGUCGUUAGGUAUCUCAAGGUUGGAUGACCCAGAGGAAUCUUUUCCUAAGCUUGAAACGCUUGUUAUAAGAAUGUGUCACAAGCUUGAGGAGAUUCCCCCUAGCUUUGCAGAUAUUGAAACAUUGAAACAGAUUAAGUUGAUUGGGCGCAGGCCACAAACUCUGGAGCCUUCAGCUGUGAAACUUAAGGAAGAUAUUGAAGAGAUUGAAGGAUGCAGCCGUCUUAACCUCAUUAUGGACGUAAGUAGAAACAAAAUCCUACAUUCUGUUUUUGAAUAUCAACGUGCAUCUAAUGUACAAACAAUAUGUUCGAUACAGGUUUGGAUCAGUAAGCAACAUAGCCGGCAGCUGCGACGUCAAGCACAAGCUCGUCUACAGAUCAUGGUAUUGUUUCAGUUUUUUCUUGUUCCUUCUUUUUAAGAAAAAAAUAAAUAAGAUUCUUGCUUUCUCUAAUUGCUCCAUGUUUCUAUAGGAUGGUGCCUUGACCUGAAAUUAGUUAUUUUCACAAACUUGAAAAAUCAAGUAAUUAGGUUGUUUGAGUAGAUCCAAUCUUGAUUCACUUGUAUAUAUAAGCACUUCCCUGGCUGCUUAACUUAACAUUAAACUUCAAAUUUAAAAUCAUCAAGUGGCAAGUCAUUGUAGAAAUUCUUCUUUUAGUUUUCGCUUAAUUGAAAAUCAUCCACCUGUUGAAAUUCACCAAAUCAUAGAAGGCAGCCCGGUGCACUAAGCUCCAGCUAUGCGCGGGGUCCGGGGUCCCGGGAAGGAUCGGAUCACAAGGGUCUAUUGUACGCAGUCUUACCCUGCUUUUCUGCAAGAGGCUGUUUCCACAGCUCGAACUCGUGACAUCCUAGUCACAUGGCAGCAACUUUACCAGUUACGCCAAGGCUCCCUUUCAACUCAUAAAGUUGCUUAUUGUUCUAAGUAAAUGAGCAGCUGGAAAUAGUACCUUUUUCGGACAAGAUACAAAUUGACAAAGCAGAGACAACUGUGGCGAAACAUACAAGACAAAGAGAAGAUAAGCCUUUCUUAGAACAAAACAAUCUUAAACAUAGGCAUCAGAUUUUAGUAGGAGAUAGUCUUCAACGGCUUGGUUUAUAGCCAAGACCUUCUCCUUUCCUACCUUUAUUUCAGCUGACUGCUCAAACUUCACGUCUUAUUUGUUUACUCAAGGUCGUUAAACAAGGCAACACCUUCGAUCAAUGUGCAUUUGUACUUGUGCAUGUCCUCGUAAGCUCAUCAACACGAUACUUUAUGGACUUAAAAUUUCUACAUAUGCACGCAAAAGAAGGAAAUUAACCAGAUUUAUCAUUUUACCAGAUUUAUCAUUUUAUCUUCAUAAAUGUUAUCUACUAAGCACACCUCAAGAAAAUCUAACUCGGUGUUCAGAAAACAACCAAACUCUGCUCAACAUAAAGUUUUCAUAUUUCAGUGAUCAGUAAAGGAAAUCAAGAAGACAAAUGUCAACCAUUGUGGGGGCAAGUCAUUCAUUGCAAAGGUUGGACGUUUGUUGCACUCCAUUUCUUAUACAUAAUGUAAACUUUCUUGAUUUCCUUUUUUUUCCCUCAUUUUCUUUUUGAGAAUUUUGGUAGUAAUUUUGAGCUAAUGAUGAUGUGUUUUUACAGCUGGUAUGGCAUGGGAGCUAGGAAAGCAGUUACUGAUCGAGGAAGUGGAUAUGGCAGCACCUCCAAAAAAAAUGGAAGUUCGUCUUAAGAUCCUCUACGCUUUCCUCCGCUAUACUAAUAUCUACUUUUGGGAAGCAAAGGUAAUAAAAAACUGGUUACAGUCUAAAAAUGGAGGAGAAUAUUUGCAACAAAAUCCGUUCCCUCAGAUUAGUAAAUUGGGAUUUCUUAAGGUGUUGGAUUUGAGUUCUCAUGAAGUGGUUCCUUUGUCGUCAAUUACACUGCAUCCACUAAUUUAUCUGAAGUACCUCGCAGUUAGGACAAAUCAAUUUGAUUUCCAUCCGGAAUCACAUCUACGCCAUCUUGAAACUUUAAUUGUUCUUGCUUUCGAGAGAGUAGUUUUACCCCCGAUUUUUUGGAAAAUGGAAAAACUAAGACAUGUUGAGAUUUAUGGAGUUGCUUUUUAUUUGGAAAACAUUAAGCAGGGGAUCUUUGAAGAAUCCUCUAAAUUGGUAAAUUUGAGGACAUUAUCCAGCUAAUGACGGUGAAUGCAUGGAUGGCUUAUUACUGAGGUGUCCUAACAUUCAAAAUCUUAGUCUCACUAUCUUUUGGUUAAAAAGAGAGAUUUGUACUUUCAGUCCCAAACUAGAGAGUCUUACUCGGCUGCAAUUACUUGACCUUUCCUUUGAUGAUUGGAAUUUUAGUCUAACUGAGUUACACUUUCCUUCAAAUCUACAGAAGUUGAAACUUGAAGGGCCUCAUAUAGUAAGCGCAGCUC
rnacentral:lncRNA from 1 species